AGCGAACGCUGGCGGCAGGCCUAACACAUGCAAGUGAACGAACCUUUCGGGGUUAGUGGCGGACGGGUGAGUAACACGUGGGAACGUGCCUUUAAGUUCGGAAUAACUCAGGGAAACUUGUGCUAAUACCGAAUGUGCCCUUCGGGGGAAAGAUUUAUCGCCUUUAGAGCGGCCCGCGUCUGAUUAGCUAGUUGGUUGAGGUAAUGGCUCACCAAGGCGACGAUCAGUAGCUGGUCUGAGAGGAUGAUCAGCCACAUUGGGACUGAGACACGGCCCAAACUCCUACGGGAAGCAGCAGUGGGGAAUCUUGCGCAAUGGGCGAAAGCCUGACGCAGCCAUGCCGCGUGAAUGAUGAAGGUCUUAGGAUUGUAAAAUUCUUUCACCGGGGACGAUAAUGACGGUACCCGGAGAAGAAGCCCCGGCUAACUUCGUG
rnacentral:rRNA from 1 species